rnacentral:rRNA from 1 species
GACGAGCGCUGGCGGCGUGCCUAAUACAUGCAAGUCGAGCGGACUUUCAAGAAGCUUGCUUUUUGAAAGUUAGCGGCGGACGGGUAAGUAACACGUGGGCAACCUGCCUGUAAGACGGGGAUAACUCCGGGAAACCGGGGCUAAUACCGGAUAAUAUCUUUCUUCGCAUGAAGGAAGGUUGAAAGGCGGCGCAAGCUGCCGCUUGCAGAUGGGCCCGCGGCGCAUUAGCUAGUUGGUGAGGUAACGGCUCACCAAGGCGACGAUGCGUAGCCGACCUGAGAGGGUGAUCGGCCACACUGGGACGGAGACACGGCCCAGACUCCUACGGGAGGUAGCAGUAGGGAAUCUUCCGCAAUGGACGAAAGUCUGACGGAGCAACGCCACGUGAGCGAAGAAGGUCUUCGGAUCGUAAAGCUCUGUUGUCAGGGAAGAACAAGUACCGUUCGAAUAGGGCGGUACCUUGACGGUACCUGACCAGAAAGCCACGGCUAACUACGUGCCAGCCGCCGCCGUAA